AUGCCAUCUCAAAUGGAAUACGCCAUGGAAACCAUGAUGUUCACGUUUCAUAAAUUUGCUGGGGAUAAAGGCUACUUAACAAAGGAGGAACUGAGAGUACUCAUGGAAAAGGAGUUCCCUGGAUUUUUGGAAAAUCAAAAAGACCCUCUGGCCAAAGACAAAAUAAUGAAGGACAUGGACCAGUGCCAAGACGGCAAAGUGGGCUUCCAGAGCAUCUUUUCACUAAUUGCUGGGCUCACCAUCACAUGCAAUGACUAUUUUGUAGUACACAUGAAGCAGAAGGGAAGGAAGUAGGCAGCACCGAGCAGUUACUUCCACCCUGAUAAGAGUUCUCUCAAUGGGCUGCCUAAGGUAUAUGUGCCCCACAGCUUCCCCCUGAUGAGGAUUUCACGAGCAGACUGGGACCCUUAAAAAAUGUGCAAAUAAAAUCCCAACCUCACUCAAUAAGAGAAAGUAAAGCCAAUGAAAGCCAGAUAAGCUUUUGAUUUUUAUAUUGCUUGUAUCCUCUUGCCCUCAACAAAUUUCUUUAGUUCCUAAAAAUAAAAUAAAAUAAAAUAAAAACAUGUCUACUUUAUUAGUAAGGACCAGGAAAUAAU